GCCGCCCCCCGAGAGCGUGGACGUGAGGUUGGACUCCUUUUUCCACUUCAUCCGCCGGUUCUGGAACCAGAUUUUGAUCUGGCGCUCGGUGAGGCAGAGCGCGUUGGCGAUCUCGAUGCGCCGGCGCCGCGUUAGGUAGCGGUUGAAGUGGAACUCCUUCUCCAGUUCCAGGGUCUGGUACCGCGAGUAGAUCUGGCGGCCGCGCCUCCGGUCCGCUCCGUAGCCGACCCCUAGAGAUCCGGGCACAGAACACACUGAGAACCGUCAGCAAGGCGUCCUCCGUGGGCGGCCGCGCCUGGCAAGGUCCUGACCCGCCCAGCGUGGCCAGCGGCUCCCGGGCCCCGGGCUCCAGCCUUCUCCCUCUUGCCCUGCCCCACCCCCACUGGGGGCACAGCCAGGGUCCCAACUCCAUCCAGUCCCCCCUACGCUGGUGGAUCCCCCAACUCUGCGCAGAUGUCUGUGACUCACCCAGCCUUGCACACAGAUACACACACUCCACUCCUGCCUGCCGGCGCCACCAACCACAGCUCGGCGCCUCCGGAGGCUGCUCAAGGACCUGGACACCGGAGCCGCAGGACUCGGCGCUCUCGGCCUGGGCGCUUGGCUGCCUGGAAGCCACAGCAGCCGCCUGACUCACCCCUGCCAAUUCUUGAUUUUGAGAGCAGGGGAAGGGCGGUUGCCCAACCAGCACCCUUUGCGCCACUGGGCAGGGGCUGAAAUCCCUCUUGCGGAGAAAGCCCAGUUUCAAUAAUUGUUCAGCUCACCUUACAGUCGCACUGUUUGGUUAAGGCUUUGCUGUUCUAGAGCUAUUGCUCGGGUGGCCCGACUGGCUUAUGAGUAGACACCUUUUUAACUUAAAAAAUUAAAAAACUAAAUCCUACUCCAAAUGCCCAGUGAUUUGUGUAGGAGUUCCUUUGAUCUCCAUAGAACCCGGAGUUAAAGGAGUGCAAGGAGAGUCUCCAAGUCCGCCAGAGAACCUGAAUGCGGGGAACUGGGUCUGCUUGGGGACACCAAAGCAUAGCUCACCUCCAGCUUCUCACAGGAAGGGUGGGGGACGCCUCCCCACACACACACACUGCAUUCCAAAACAGAAUGUUUCUCCUAAGUCUCAAAGUUCAGGCUUGGAGGCGCUUGCAGAAAGACUUCCGCCUGACCUUUCUUUACCACCACUCCACUUGGGGCUGCUACCCUCAGCAGACACAGACUCCCACCAUGGCAGUUGUUUAGCUUCUCAAUUCACUUCACUAACCGGAGCUUGAAAAGUAAAGCAGACCCCAAGCGUCUC